rnacentral:rRNA from 1 species
UACGUAGGGGGCAAGCGUUGUCCGGAAUCAUUGGGCGUAAAGAGCGUGUAGGCGGCCCGGUAAGUCCGCUGUGAAAGUCGGGGGCUCAACCCUCGAAUGCCGGUGGAUACUGUCGGGCUAGAGUGCGGAAGAGGCGAGUGGAAUUCCUGGUGUAGCGGUGAAAUGCGCAGAUAUCAGGAGGGACACCGAUUGCGAAGGCAGCUCGCUGGGACGUAACUGACGCUGAGACGCGAAAGCGUGGGGAGCAAACAGG